rnacentral:misc_RNA from 1 species
GUGAAUCAUCGAAUUUUUGAACGCAAAUUGCACUCUCUGGUAUUCCGGAGAGUAUGCCUGUUUGAGGGUCAGUUUAAAUAAAAAUCGGUGUUGUUGCUACCUUUCGUGGUUACGCACGUGUGGUCGGUCGUAUUUCCUUCGGUUAAGUGACCUAAAAUUGAGCUUGUUUGUUUCUAACUAAUCUAACUUAUUUUACGUACGU